rnacentral:rRNA from 1 species
CAGUCGCCACGGUAAUACGUAGGUGGCAAGCGUUGUCCGGAAUUAUUGGACGUAAAGGGCUCGCAGGCGGUUUCUUAAGUCUGAUGUGAAAGCCCCCGGCUCAACCGGGGAGGGUCAUUGGAAACUGGAAAACUUGAGUGCAGAAGAGGAGAGUGGAAUUCCACGUGUAGCGGUGAAAUGCGUAGAGAUGUGGAGGAACACCAGUGGCGAAGGCGACUCUCUGGUCUGUAACUGACGCUGAGGAGCGAAAGCGUGGGAAGCGAACAGGAUUAGAUACCCCCGUAGUCCCUGUCUCUUAUAC